UUAAGUUCAGCGGGUAGUCCUACCUGAUUUGAGGCCAAAUUGUCAAUAGUUGUCUUGUUUCAGACGAUUAGAAGCAAGUCUAAAGCCCUGUCCACGGUGUAGAUAAUUAUCACACCAAUAGAUGGAGCCCAGUUUGAUACUCGCUAAUUCAUUUAAGGAGAGCAGCACACUUGCGAAGCAUUCUGCAAGCCCCCAACAUC
rnacentral:misc_RNA from 1 species